rnacentral:tRNA from 1 species
UAUUCUGAUAGGAUAAAUUAUGUAGAAUUCUACCUUUAUUA